rnacentral:rRNA from 1 species
UGUAUAAGUCUCUUGGAACAGAGCGUCAUAGAGGGUGAGAAUCCCGUCUUUGACACGGACUACCAGUGCUUUGUGAUGCGCUCUCGAAGAGUCGAGUUGUUUGGGAAUGCAGCUCAAAAUGGGUGGUAAAUUCCAUCUAAAGCUAAAUAUUGGCGAGAGACCGAUAGCGAACAAGUACCGUGAGGGAAAGAUGAAAAGCACUUUGGAAAGAGAGUUAAACAGUACGUGAAAUUGCUGAAAGGGAAACGCUUGAAGUCAGUCGCGUCUGCCGGAACUCAGCCUUGCUUUCGCUUGGUGCAUUUUCCGGUAGACGGGCCAGCAUCGAUUUUGACCGUCGGAAAAGGGCCAGGGAAAUGUGGCACCUUCGGGUGUGUUAUAGUCUCUGGUCGUAUACGACGGUUGGGAUCGAGGAACGCAGCGCGCCGCAAGGCAGGGGUUCGCCCACUUUCGCGCUUAGGAUGCUGGCGUAAUGGCUUUAAACGACCCGUCUUGAAACACGGACCAAGGAGUCUAACAUGCCUGCGAGUGUUUGGGUGGAAAAUCACUAGUGAAUUC